rnacentral:sRNA from 1 species
UCGGAAGGGUCAUACGCUAAUUCGGCGGCACUACAC